rnacentral:rRNA from 1 species
UACGUAGGGGCCUAGCGUUGUCCGGAUUUAUUGGGCGUAAAGAGCUCGUAGGCGGUUCGGCAAGUCGGAUGUGAAAUCUCCACGCUCAACGUGGAGGGGCCAUUCGAAACUGCCGUGACUCGAGUCCGGUAGGGGAGUGUGGAAUUCCCGGUGUAGCGGUGAAAUGCGCAGAUAUCGGGAGGAACACCAGUGGCGAAGGCGGGUCUCUGGACAGUUCCUGACGCUGAGGCACGAAGGUCAGGGGAGCAAACGGG